UACGUAGGGUGCGAGCGUUGUCCGGAAUUAUUGGGCGUAAAGGGCUCGUAGGCGGUUUGUCGCGUCGGGAGUGAAAACACACAGCUUAACUGUGUGCUUGCUUCCGAUACGGGCAGACUAGAGGUAUGCAGGGGAGAACGGAAUUCCUGGUGUAGCGGUGAAAUGCGCAGAUAUCAGGAGGAACACCGGUGGCGAAGGCGGGUCUCUGGGCCGAUAUUGACGCUGAGGAGCGAAAGCGUGGGGAGCGAACAGG
rnacentral:rRNA from 1 species